rnacentral:rRNA from 1 species
UACGUAGGGUGCAAGCGUUAAUCGGAAUUACUGGGCGUAAAGCGUGCGCAGGCGGUGAUGUAAGACAGUUGUGAAAUCCCCGGGCUCAACCUGGGAACUGCAUCUGUGACUGCAUCGCUGGAGUACGGUAGAGGGGGAUGGAAUUCCGCGUGUAGCAGUGAAAUUCGUAGAUAUUGGGAAGAACACCGGUGGCGAAGGCGAAUCUCUGGACAGUUACUGACACUGAGGCACGAAGGCCAGGGGAGCAAACAGG